rnacentral:rRNA from 1 species
AUUGAACGCUGGCGGCAGGCUUAACACAUGCAAGUCGAGCGGAGAGAGGUAGCUUGCUACUGAUCUUAGCGGCGGACGGGUGAGUAAUGCUUAGGAAUCUGCCUAUUAGUGGGGAACAACAUUUCGAAAGGAAUGCUAAUACCGCAUACGUCCUACGGGAGAAAGCAGGGGAUCUUCGGACCUUGCGCUAAUAGAUGAGCCUAAGUCGGAUUAGCUAGUUGGUGGGGUAAAGGCCUACCAAGGCGACGAUCUGUAGCGGGUCUGAGAGGAUGAUCCGCCACACUGGGACUGAGACACGGCCCAGACUCCUACGGGAGGCAGCAGUGGGGAUUAUUGGACAAUGGGCGCAAGCCUGAUCCAGCCAUGCCGCGUGUGUGAAGAAGGCCUUAUGGUUGUAAAGCACUUUAAGCGAGGAGGAGGCUACUUUAGUUAAUACCUAGAGAUAGUGGACGUUACUCGCAGAAUAAGCACCGGCUAACUCUGUGCCAGCCGCCGCGGUAACAC